rnacentral:lncRNA from 1 species
CACAUAACAAUCAUUGAGUCUUACACAAACAAUAGGAGCCUUGCUGAUCAUAGCAAGUCUUGUCACGUCCCUUUGCCUCAAGAUUGGCACACCCCCAGAGCUGAAAUCUGGGAAGAAAGCAUUUUUCCCUUAAAGUGUGCAACAAUCAUAUUAUUGACAUUAAUCACUUUCAAAUCCAGCUAAAGUAAAACAACUUUCCCAUUUCUUUUCUCUGCAAAGCAUCCGGAAACAAAAAUAAUAAAAUAAGCAAUCACUUGCCCAAAUAUGCACGCAAAUGUAAGCCCAUAUACACACAGAUUCACGAUUUUUCCAUAAAAAGUAGACCCAAUAUCUCAGGGAAAGAUUAGAGACACAUGCAUUCAGUGGAUUAAAGCUGACCCUAAGAACUGCUUGAUACUCGAACAGUCCUGCUCUGUCUCCCUAUUUCUUUAAGCUCUAAAAGAGUAACCAUAAGCAUAAAAAGGAACAAGCCUGUAUAUUUCAUACUCCACACCCAACAAACUUCAUUCCAACUGUUUGGCAAUGCUAAAUAGGAAGAAAUGCAUAUCAUGAUCAGUUAUCCACACCAUAGCCAUAUACUUUUGAAUGAAUCAUGUAUGUACUGCGCAGAUAGAACCCUAAGAAUUUCAGUACAAUUCACACUUUCGACUGAAUUACAGAAAACCCAUAACUCAAGAAGGAUAUACGAAGCAAGUGCAUAUAGCAUUUUCAUAGCGAGAUGGCAAUCAGUGCACAAUAGACAACCAUAGACUUUAGAGAACUUAUCUCGUAGAAGGAAGAGACCGAUUGCCAUGUGCCCAUCGAACCGGGAAGCAGACGACGACUCUGUUUAUUUUGGGGCCGGCUACCCCAUUCGGUCAAAGCCUAGACGACGAUGAUUCAGACAUAGAAGGAGCUAGGGCUCGAUUUCUGUAUUUCCCAAUGGCUUGGGCUCUGCAAACCUCGAACGUCCAGAUGAGGGCGGCAGAGAAGACGCUCGGUCGGUGGAGGACGGCGCCGCGAUAGAAUCUAGAGCGGAGUCCGACGAAGCCGCGAUCUGGGGACGACGGCAUCGCUUUGAUUUUUUCCCCAAUUUGCAGAUCUCAAAUCUGGAGACGUUCAUUUGUGGCUGGCGUUGGCCGUGGGCUUCACAGGUAAUCCUUAUCGUCGGGUGAAGACAAGGACAUCGCUCUAACAACAUUGCCCUAUCCUGAGAAAAUUGAAUGAGCGGUGUUUAGCCCUAU